CCUACGGGUGGCAGCAGUGAGGAAUAUUGGUCAAUGGACGAGAGUCUGAACCAGCCAAGUCGCGUGAAGGAUGACUGCCCUAUGGGUUGUAAACUUCUUUUAUAAAGGAGUAAAACGUGGCCCUUGUGCCUUUUUGCAUGUCCUUUAUGAAUAAGGCUGGGCGAACUCCGUGCCAGCAGCCGCGGUAAUACGGAGGAUCCGAGCGUUAUCCGGAUUUAUUGGGUUUAAAGGGAGCGUAGAUGGGUUGUUACGUCAGUUGUGAAAGUUUGCGGCUCAACCGUAAAAUUGCAAUUGAGACUGGCAGUCUUGAGUACAGUUGAGGUAGGCGGAAUUCGUGGUGUAGCGGUGAAAUGCUUAGAUAUCACGAAGAACCCCGAUUGCGAAGGCAGCUUACUAAACUGUGACUGACAUUGAUGCUCGAAAGUGUGGGUAUCAAACAGGAUUAGAUACCCCAGUAGUC
rnacentral:rRNA from 1 species